AACAUCAUCUGUUCAUGUAAUAAAAUUUAGCGGAAUAUAGUAUGUUGCAAGGCUAACAAACGAAGAAGUGCAUUGAUAAGAGCUUUUAUUUGAGAAUAUGAGUGGUCACAGAGGGAAUAUAACGUCAAGACCUGCUAGGGAAAUCUUCCUAACAUCAUCAUCUCUGUCUUUUUCUUCCUUGUCUUCCUCUGUGUCAUGGGAUGAUGCCAUUGAGCUCAAAGAGUCCAAAGCAUAUUCUGAGGAUAAGAGCCAUCAGCAGAAUGGGGAGCUUUCAAAUGCUUCUUCUUCUCAAGGCUCUGAAACAUCUGGUGUGACUCAUGUCAGGACGCAGCCUGCUUCUUCAUCUCAAGGCUCUGAAAUGUCGGGGUUGACUCAUGUCAAGGUGCAACCUGUUCCAUCUCCGCCUUCGUGGUCACGACCAGUUCCUUUGAUGAAUGAAGGUAUACGGAACUACGAUCCUGAGAGAAUCCCUCAAUCGGUGUUUGGCAAGACAGGGGAUAUGAGUUGGACCGAAGUUUCGAAUGAGUCUUUGUUUAGUCUGAAAUUUGAUGGGUAUAGACAGUCAAACGCUCAAGUAUCUCCUCAAAGCAAUAUAAAAUCUGAAGAUGUUCUGAUGACGGGUGAGUUCUUGGGAUACUCCCCUGCUCUGCUAUCCACCACGCCUGAGGGUGCAAUAGAGAAAAGAUCUGAAGUGAAAGGAGAAACAAGAGUGGAUAGUCGUCAUGAACAAAAGAAGUAGAAGUACUCCAUGUCAACUCAAGAUGUCCCAUUGAGCAGUAUCCCGAGCAACUUCUAUUGUUUAUAUCACGCACCCCCGAGAAAAAUUCAACCUUUUCCCCUUCCUGUUGGUGAGAAAAAGAGUAAGAAGAUAAAGAAGACAAGAAAGAGCAAGAUGAAUAAGAAGGAGAAAAAGAAGAAGAAGAAGAAAACAGAGGAGAAGAAGAAUAAGUGUUGCAUGUGGUCUUGGUUGUGCUCAGUAUUUUCAAAGUGCGAGUGUGACUUUUCCUGCUACAAAUGGAGAACGUGUUGUUGCUGCGGCUGCUGCUACAGACGACCAAAAACGACGGUUUUGUAACUUUUUCCCACCUCUCGGCAUGCUUCAUCGUGAUAAAUGUGUUGACACCCAAAGCAUCAUCUCUAUACAUCCUUAAUACUCAGUGUAUUCAUACAAAUAUGGUUAACAACUCUAGUUUCUAUGCUAGAUCUUGAUUUGUUCCAGACUCUAUUAUUCAUUAUCGACAUUACAAUAUUACGAAUACAAGCUGUAUUGGAAAUUAUGAUGAGUGGGGUCUUAGUAUAAGACAAUGGACAAGGCAUGGAAGAUGCACAAUUAUUUUGACUUUUAGUUAUGUAUAAGCUCAUCAUACCAAACACACUAUCCAUAUAAUUUACAAGACAUAUAUACACAUACAUUCAUCAAUUAUUACAAGUUUUAUGAUUUGGUUGAUUAUGUUAGAUUACAAGAAUAGCCUCAGGGACAGGGGAUCCGUAUAACGGCUGGAGGGAUGAAUAAUAACUUCUAUGGGGUCUUGGACAAAACAAAUCAUUUUAAAGCGAAAGGAAAAGGGAAAACGUAAAGAGGGCAGAGCCCUUCUCCUUCUCCUUCUUCCUCUUCAAGAAGGAGCCGCAGCCAAAGGUCUUUUCAAGGAUUCUUUUCCAUGCCCAGUUGAUAAAGGAAGCGACUUUAUUUUAACCAACGAGAUUUAUCAAUCAGGGUUGGUUAAGUUUGUCAAAGGAUCAUUGAUUACCCUCUGAAAAUCUCGAGCUUUCCAGAUCUAUAGGAGCUCCUGGGUUUGUAAAAUCGCUUACUG